UAUCACGGAGAUGUCGAUGAUGAUGGCUU
rnacentral:piRNA from 2 species